rnacentral:rRNA from 1 species
AUUGAACGCUGGCGGCAUGCUUUACACAUGCAAGUCGAACGGCAGCGCGGGCUUCGGCCUGGCGGCGAGUGGCGAACGGGUGAGUAAUACAUCGGAACGUGCCCAGUAGUGGGGGAUAGCUCGGCGAAAGCCGGAUUAAUACCGCAUACGACCUGAGGGUGAAAGCGGGGGAUCUUCGGACCUCGCGCUAUUGGAGCGGCCGAUGGCAGAUUAGCUGGUUGGUGGGGUAAAGGCCUACCAAGGCGACGAUCUGUAGCUGGUCUGAGAGGACGACCAGCCACACUGGGACUGAGACACGGCCCAGACUCCUACGGGAGGCAGCAGUGGGGAAUUUUGGACAAUGGGCGCAAGCCUGAUCCAGCAAUGCCGCGUGUGUGAUGAAGGCCUUCGGGUUGUAAAGCACUUUUGGCGGGAACGAAAAGGACUGUGCUAAUACCACUUUUUGCUGACGGUAC